rnacentral:lncRNA from 1 species
AUUUAUUCUUCAACCCUGCUCUUACCAGGUUCUGCUGUCACAUGUUACUGGCCUCCUCUCUCUAGAAUUGCACAAGGAUUUACAUGGUAUAGCCAACAGCGAUUUCAGAACUUGGCUUGCUUGAAAUAUCAACUGACGAUAAAUAAUCUUUCCUUUAGCCUCCUCAAUCCCGCUGAUCUGUAACUCUUAAGGAUUUAAACUUACACAGUUGUGGAGGUUGGUUUAGCAGUCUCUGAAAAGUUGUCUUUGCAACUGAUGACUGAUCUCACUGAACCCUGUCCUGAUUCCCAACCCACAGAAUAUAUGAGCAUAAUCACUAUCGUAUGCCUUUAAAUUUUGGGAUUUACUACACAACCAUAGUAAAUGAAACAUCUGUUUCUUUUGGGGUUACUUAAAUGUGUGUGUGUGUGUGUGUGUGUGACUCUAUAGAAUACAAUAUGUACCUGAGGAGUCUAGCUCCUAGUUAAAAACCUAUGUAUGAUUUUCCAGAACUGACCAUAGGCAAUUACAAAGGCUUUAGCUGGCAGGCAUCAUGGGAGAAAGCUCCCCUUCCAGCACCAGUUUUGGGGUACAGUCAGUGCAUGGCAGCCUCUUGAAAAAGUUGGAGUCAAGGACUUAAGCCACUCAGCAGUUACUGGUCUCCAUAGUCAUUAGUCACUCAGGCCCAUCAUGUUCUUCUCGUAUUUGCCUUCCCUGCCCAUUGUAGAUCUCUUUAUAUCAGGCCUGUUCAGGGUCCAAAUUCUUGUCAAGGUGUGUCUGCUGAGGUCUCUAUAUGCAAGGAGGAGGGAUACUUGAAGACAUUUCUUUUCACUGUGAUUCAGCGCCUAGCUCUUUUCUACUUCUAGCCCUUCCCCUCACUCUCUCCUGACCUCAGAACUGCUGGAUCCUUUGGAGCUCCCUCAACAACCCACCCCCACUUCUGGCUGAGCCACCAACUUCAGACCAUCGAGCCUCGUCUUGCCCAGGCAUUUUCUCCCAUCACAGUAAGUGAUUAAAGGCUUCACUCUUGUUUUUGGCUUGUUGGUUUAAUCAGCUACUCUGACACAUAGCCACUCAGCUUUCUCUAUCUCCCUGAGCUCAGCUGAGCUCCUAACAGUACCUUUAAGUAAUUACAGUCAGCCUGCAAAUAAUCUUGUAUUGCUCGAAAAAUAGCAGGUAAUAUAUAAUAAUCUUACAACAGUUUAAUUCUAUUUACCCCAUUCCCACCUUUGUGUCAUUAUAUUUUAUUUCAGUGUAUUCUGUAAACCCCACAAGACAUUGUUAUUAUUUUUAUUUUAUAUAGUCUCUUACUUGCAUUUAAAUACACACACACACACACACAUAUAUGUGUGUAUACAUAUUAAAGAUGUUUUUAAAUGGGCUUCUAUAAUUACCAUUUUUGUGGUCUUCAUCCUUUCCCACAGAUCUGGUUGUCCAUCUGGUCCAAUUUCCCUCCAACAACUCAGCAUUUCUUAUAAUGUCGGUCUACCACAGACAUAAUGUCUCCCAUUUCCCCACCUCCUGGAAAUGUCUUUAUUUUGCCUUCAUUUUUGAAGUGUAUUUUUGCUAGAUAGAGAAUUUUGGAGUUUUUAUGUUUUCUUUUAAGCAUUUAAAAAAUUUAUUGUCUUCUGGCUUCCAUUGCUUGUGAUGGGAAGUCAAACAUGAUUUAUGUUGUUAAUUCUCCUAUAUGUAAGGUUUCCAUUUUUCUCUGGCUGCUUUUAUUUUAUUAUUAUUUAUUAUUAUUAUUUUUUUUUUUUAAUUUUUUUUUCAACGUUUAUUUAUUUUUGGGACAGAGAGAGACAGAGCAUGAACGGGGGAGGGGCAGAGAGAGAGGGAGACACAGAAUCGGAAACAGGCUCCAGGCUCCGAGCCAUCAGCCCAGAGCCUGACGCAGGGCUCGAACUCACGGACCGCGAGAUCGUGACCUGGCUGAAGUCGGACGCUUAACCGACUGUGCCACCCAGGCGCCCCUAUUUUUUUUUAACGUUUUAUUUAUUUUUGAGACAGGGAGAGACAGAGCAUGAACAGGGGAGGGUCAGAGAGAGGGAGACACAGAAUCUGAAACAGGCUCCAGGCUCUGAGCUGUCAGCACAGAGCCCGACACGGGGCUCUAACUCACGGACUGCAAGAUCAUGACCUGAGCCGAAGUUGGCCGCUUAACCGACUGAGCCACCCAGUCGCCCCUCUCUGGCUGCUUUUAAUAUUUGCUUUUUAUAUUUUAUUAUCAUUAGUUUAACUAAUGAUAAUAGGCAAUGCUGCAGUUGUGGUGUUCUUAGUGUUUGUCCUCCUUCUGGUUUGCUGAGUUUCUUGUAAUUGUGGCAAGAUAUUUUUCAACAAUUUUGGGAAAAUUUUAGUCAAUAUUUAUUUUGUUAAAGUUUAUUCAUUUGAGAGUGCAGGGGUCAGGGAGGGAGGCAGGAGGGGCAGAGAGAGAGGGAGAGUGAGAAUCCCAAGCAGGCUCUGCAUGGUCAGAGCAGAGCCCGACCGUGGGGCUCUUGCCCACACAGUAACCAUGAGAUCAUGGUCUGAGCCAAAAUCAAGAGUCAGUUGCUCGAACCAGUCUCUUCUCAUGGUCCUGGGGCAGCUCUUUCUGUCUCUCUGCCCAUGGGUCCUGUCCAUGUGCUUUAAUAAAAUCAUCUUUUUGCACCAAAAAAAAAAAAAAGAGUCGGAUGCUCAACCAACUUAGCCACAUAGGUGCCUCUCCAUUACUAUUUUUUAAAACAUUUUUUCUGUGCCUUUCUCUCCCCUGUCUUUCUGAGGCACCAAUUACACACAUAUUAGAAUCUGAUAUUGUUCCACACGUCUCAAGUGCUCUGUUUUUCUUUUAUACCCUUUUUUCUUUGUUGCAAUUUAGUCUGGUCCUUUACUCUGCUGUUGUUUUCUAGUCUUCUAUGAAGUCUAUCUAGUAAUUCUUCAUUUUUAUUCUUGUAUUUUUUAUUUCUAGCUUUUCCAUUUGGUUCUUCUCUACAACUUUCAUGCCCAGAUGAAAUUCUCAAAUAUUUUGUCUGCCUUUUCUACUUGAUCCUUUAGCAUUUUUAUCACAGUUAUUUUUUUUAACUAAGCUUUUAUUUUGGGGUAAUGGUAGAUUUACCACAUAUGUAAGAAAUAAUACAGAGAGAACACAUGUACCCUUUACCCAGCUUCCCCUAAUGGUAAAAUCUUGCAAAACUGUAGUACAGUGUCACAAGGAUAUUGACCUUGAUACAAUCAGGAUACAGAAUAUUCUUAUGAACACAAGGAUCCUUCAUGGUGUCCUUUUAUAGACAUCUCCUCCCAACCCAAUCCUUGAACCUUGGCAACCACUACCACUAAUCUGUUCUCCAUUUCUCUAACUUUGUUGUUUCAAAGGGCACCUGGGUGGCUCAGUCGGUUGAGUGUCUGACUCUUGAUUUUGGCUCAGGUCAUGAUCGCAGCGUUGUGGGAUCGAGCCCUGCACCAGGCUCCAUGCUGAGCGUGGAGUCUGCUUAUGAUUCUUUCUCUCUCUCCCUCUGCCCCUCUCCUCUACUUGCUCUCUCUCUCUAAAAACAAACAAAUAAACAAACAAAUAAAUAACUUUGUCAUUUCAAGAAUGUUAUAUAAAUGGAAUCAUACAAUAUGUACUCAUUUGGGAGUGGCAUAAUUCUCUUGUGAUUCCUCCCAGUUAUUGUAUUUAUCAGUAAUUCGAUUGUUUUCUUUUCCUGAAUAGCAUUCUAUUGUAGUCAGUUCAAAGUUCCUGCGUGAUAAAUCCACUCUCAUCUAUUUCUGUGCCCUUUCCUACUGAUUGUUUGCUCUCAUCAUGAGUAUGGGUUGAUUUUGUUGCUUCUGUUGCACCUUGUAAUUUUUUUUUUUAUUAUACCCCAGAUAUUUCAUAUAAAAGAAAAGACUAGGGGCACCUGGGUGACUCAGUCGGUUGAGCGACCAACUUUGGCUCAGGUCAUGACCUCACGGUUCGUGGGUUUGAGCCCUGCAUUAGGCUCUGUGCUGACAGCUCAGAGCCUGGAGCCUGCUUCGGAUUCUGUGUCUCCUUUUCUCUCUGCCCCUCCCCACUCACGCUCUGUCUUUCUCUCAAAAAUAAAUAAACAUUAAAAAAAAGAAAAAAGAGUAGACUAAGUCAUAUUUACCUCAAGAAAAGAGCAAAGCCCUGUUCUGUCAGAAUGGUAGAAUUAGGGGCUGACGUGCAGUCCAGCUGGAUCUGGGCUUUGUCUCAGCUUUAUCUGAUUCAGCGUACCCCUGGCUUCACAUAGUUUGGGAUAUGAAAUUAGGCUCUUCUCAUCAGAAGAAACUGGUGCCUAACCGUCGCUGAACUUCUGGAGAUAUAUAUCUUUGGUUUUUGUGGCCAGGUUGCUAGCUUUUCUAACUGUAGGAUAUUUCCCUCUGAUUUAUAAUUCUUCUGGAAGGAGGGUCACCAAGGACAUUUCUUUGCUCUGCAGUCCCAGUCCUGGCUUUCUGAGCCUGGGGAAAUCUCUCUAUUUUGCUAUUCCUCCCUAUCUUUUGGAAGUUAGCUGCCUUGCUUCUUCCGAAGACCUGCAGACAGAUUUGUCUUGGCUCGUGUCUCUGCUCCCAUUCUUUGAUGUAUUGUCCUAGAGCACAUGGCCAGGUCCUAAAGAGUUGGCACUUGGAGAAAGACUCUGGCUGGAGUUUCUCAGGAUUCGAAUCUAUCAAACCAGCCCACACACAUCCAUUAUACUUUCUCCUUAUUUUUGAUUUCUCCUUAUUUUUUUGAUGGGCAUUUCUUUUUUGCUGCUUUGUCAUAAAGAAAAGUCACUCUGUAGAAGAGAAAGUUUUCUCUCUCCUAUGAUGAGUUUGUUACUCACUAGAGUUUAAUUUGUUUAGAUUCCUGACAAUCUAAUGAGCUUUAAAAAUUUUUUUUAAAUUGAUUUUGUUUUUAUACAGAUAAUUUUAGGUUAUUAGAAUGGGAAUAAUGGUCAUUUUUGUGGCUUUCUUCACACUAACCAAAGGAGAGAGGCAUUCCCUAAUUUUUAAGAUGGAAGUUAUAAAAAGCCCAGCAAAUUUUUGGGUGUCUGAAGGGCUGGUCAGUGCCUGAUUUUGCUUAGGACUGGGUAAAUCCUAACUCUGAAGCCAGGAAUAUUUUUUCUUUAGGGAAUAAUACAUAUGUCAGCCUCCUUGCUCUUCCCAAAGAUUUUAUUUUCAUACUUUUGAGAAGAUUUGUCUGUUUUUUUAAUACUCUGUUAGACAUGAAUUCUUAGAUGCCAGGCAUUCUGUCUGAAGGAUGUGGGAAGGGGAUUAGUAGUGAAGUCACCAGUUCCAUAUAUAUAUAGAUAUUUAACAAGCCCCCCUUUUCAACUGCACAUCUCACUCUUAUCCUCCACUGCAUCUAGUUUUCCAAGGGUUCUGGUGUCCGAUUGCGGUAUCUUCCUUGGAUAUGUUGAUACCAUUCAUGCAUAUUUUGGCUGCUGCUUCCUCCACCCUGGUUCAUAAUGAUUAUAAAACUUAUCUACUUGUUUUAUGUAUUCUAUAAAUUCGUUGAAAGCUCUCAGGUAUCUAAUAUUUGCUAAACAACUGGAGGGUUAGAGCUGAAUCCCAAGCAGCCUGAUUUCUGUUCUAGUUCACUUCUCAUUAACCUUAUCACUGUCUUAUUUCAUUAUCCCAUUUUUUUUUAAUAUAUCCAGAGUUUACUCAAAGCAUUACUUGAAGAAUCUUCAAGGUGCCACAUUGUAACAAUGAUUCAGCUGACAGCUACCCCUGCAAGCACGCUGACUGAUGAGCCAGUGCACAUCCGAGCUACAGGCCUGCGUCCCUCUCAGAUAGUGAUUUUUCAGGCAACACUGGAAGAUGAAAAGGGGAACCUGUUUCAUUCUCAAGCCUACUAUAAGGCCAGU